AUACGUAGGUGGCAAGCGUUGUCCGGAAUGAUUGGGCGUAAAGGGCGCGUAGGCGGCCGCUUAAGUCUGGAGUGAAAGUCCUGUUUUCAAGAUGGGACUUGCUUUGGAUACUGGGGGGCUUGAGUGCAGGAGAGGUUAUCGGAAUUCCCGGUGUAGCGGUGAAAUGCGUAGAGAUUGGGAGGAACACCAGUGGCAAAGGCGACUUACUGGACUUUAACUCACGCUGAGGCGCGAAAGUGUGGGGAGCAAACAGGAUAAGAUACCCUGGUAGUACACGCCGUAAACGAUGAAUUCUAGGGGUAGGGGGUAUCGACCCCUUCUGUGCCGCAGUCAACACAAUAAGCAUUCCGCCUGGGGAGUACGGCCGCAAGGUUGAAACUUAAAGGAAUUGGCGGGG
rnacentral:rRNA from 1 species